UUGAAGCAGUAGUCUUGAAGAUGAAGGCUGUUGCAACAAACAAUUUUCUUCUUCUCAAGACCAUCUUUUUGGUUUGUUCCAUAUUAACAGUGACAGAAGCAGGCAUUGGAAGAAGAGAAAUGGAAUCAAAACAAGCUUAUGCAAGUCCAGCGAAGGUUUAUGAAUGGAAAAAGAAACAGAAAUUCAAGCUGAUUCAAUAGUGAUUGACUAUACACCAGCUCAUACAUCGCCAGCGACUCCCCAUCCUCCUCUUUAAUAAUAGGGGCCCUUAAUUUGCUAUUUCAUUGUGUAAUAAGAGUAUGUUGUGAACGAACUCUAAAGCAAUACAACCAUUUUUACUUCUUAUUAAUUGCAUGCAUGCUUUUUAAUGUAAGAUUUUAACUCCUACUGUUGAUUUUGAGGUAAGGUGAUUGCUUAGUUGGAAAGAAAUAAAAGUGAUACCUAAUCUUCUCAGCCUUGACCAGCUGAUCUAAGAAUUUAAUCAAAAUUUGAAUGCGUAUGAGUUUUUAGCAUUUAAAGGCUGGAUAAAGUGCAAAUAUAUAAUACCAUAUCUUUCAUCAGAAAUAUUUUGAUAGUGUAGUAUAGUAGUCAUGGUUGAGGCUGUUGCAACUACAAAUCUUCUUCUUUUGAAGACCAUCUUUUUGGUGUGCUUCAUUAUAACAGUGACACAAGCAGGAGGAAUUGGAAGAAGAGAAAUUGAAUCAAUACAAGCUUAUGCAUGUACUCCAGCUAAGGUUAAUGAAAUGGAGAAAUAUACAAACAAUGAUCAAGAUGAUUCAAUAGUGAUUAUUGACUAUACACCAAGUCAUGGAUCCCAAGACAUCCACCAUCAUUUACCGCCACCGAAAAACCGUUAUUUUAUAUAAUUUAUGAGUUGCUUAUCUGGCUUCUUAAGGUCUCUGUUAUUUCAUAAGAUCUGCAAUUUGCAGGUGCAUAAUUUGUACUUGCUGCUUCACUAAGGUUUAUUGUUGUCUUCCGUGAUGUACGCAAGAUUUUUAGCAAAUGGCGUCGACAUUUGAAGAACUAAAUAAAUAAAUGAACCAUUAUGAAAA